rnacentral:tRNA from 1 species
AAACUAUUUGUGGUUUGAUUAGAAAUCAAAUUUUGGUUUUUACCGUAGUUUU